rnacentral:sRNA from 2 species
GUCCCAUGAUAUUAAUAAGUGAACAAUAAAUCUGAAAUCCCAGAGACGCCGUGGUUGCCAUAGCCCACACACCUUUACACCUCACUCAACAGUUCCUAGAAAGCCAACAACUGCAAAUAAAAAUAUGAGAAUAGUUAUAAAACAUAAACUCAGGAGGAGAAAAAAGAGAGCAAGGCACCGAUAUAUACCCAAAUCAUAGCCCAUCGCUAUCGCUUUCGAGCCCCGAAUCUAGGUCUGGAUGCAUUCCAGCCUUCCUCCUCUUCGCCGUAUCACUCGCAUCCCCAUCGAUAUCAAUCUCAUCUCCAUCGUGAUCACUAUUUUGAGUAGCUUCGUCCUCAUCUUCUUCCUCCCCGUUUCCCCCUUCUUCCUCCUCUUCCUCCUCCUCCUCGUCUUCUUCUUCGUCCUCAUCCAACACAUCCUCCUCCAUUUCCUCCGUCUCAUCACCAUCACCACCACCACCACCAACCUCACCAGGCUCCCCCUCCACUUCAGCCAACCCCCCAUUACCAAUCCCAGAUCGCGACCUCCUAAUUGCCAUCUCUGUUGCACCCUCUCCACCCCGCUUUAGCCGCUUAGCACCUGGUUCAAUCCCAUCCUCAACAUUUCCAGCUCCAUCCGCAGCUGAAGCGGCGCCUACGUUUCCUGCUGCACCGGCACCUGUUUCUAUCCCCAUCGUCGCAGCCGUAGUGGCAGCGCCAGAUUUGCGAUCCUUCUUGCCCCUCCGCUUCUCUGCAGCUGCUUCAGUGUACACGGCUAGUUCGCGCUCGAGGCGCGGGAGGAAGGCGUCGAAUUCUAUUUGGGAGAGGGCGGCGAAGACGUCUUGUGGGGUUAUGGUUUUCUUCUCGGUCUCUUCGUUUGCGCUAGAGGUGAAGAGGGGGAAUGUGUUAGUUAAGCGAUGAAGAAAGAGGAAAAAUGGAUUGAAAGAAGAUGUAGGACGUGGGAUAAGGAUGUUAGGGCAGAGGUUUUAGGUAGGAAUGGGAUAUAGGUCUCCCCAGCCUCUUCUUCUUCCUGCUCCCCCUUGUGCAUGUGUGUGCUCAUUGCAUAUUCGCUAGGAUCAAGGGCAAUAGGAAGCAGAAGAAUGCCUACUGUGAUGAGAGGUAUGAAACGAAUACCGUAGCGGCCUUGGAAAUUGCUAACAACGCGUCUUUCUGUAUCGAGGUGUUCGGAGGCAAAACACUCUUUGCCAAUCGUUGCGUGAGAGAUCGCGGGAGGAGGUAAUCCUAUGCAGCGAUCCAUAUAAAAAUUUUAGACACUAUUAGCUCUCCUGUUCCGAAUAAUACAAAGCUAGGGUUCUAUAUCUUGGAGAUUAAGUCGGAUUGAUCCAGCAUUUGCAUUUCCGCUCCAGCGCAUCCGUCCCACGCACGCAUGACGGGACCUCCGCCUGAAACGGAAGCCAAAGAGGAAGGAAAGGAAACAAGCAGGCAAUUGACAGGAUAUAGAAAUCUCACCUCAACAUUCACGCCGGUCUCGAUAGGGUCUGUACCGCUCCCGGCUGUUUUUGAGCUCUCCGCCGCCGCUUGCUGUUCUUCUUCAUGGCUGCUGGCCUCCGCGACGGAGGAUGUGGAUUUCCGCGGUGACAUUUGGGAAGGGGCCGAGACGCGAGUAAAAUUAUAUUCUCCUAUAAUAUAUAUGGGUUGGAUAUAGAUGAGGAUCGUGGACUUGGGUUAUUUUAAGGGAGCAAUGUGGGUUGUUGUAUCCUUUUCCGCUUUUUCUUAAUUCGCGCGCGAGAAAUGGUCUCCGCUACACGUUGUGCAAAGAUCGGCUCGAUGCAGGAGGGGCGGGGAUAUGCGACGCACUAUACAAUCUCGCCGACGUAAGAGAUAUAGAAGUUAAUUUGAGAUAGAUAUAAUUACUUUUGUUGGAUAUUUUUCCGUUCUCUCCCUGAAGGUUGCAGGACUAUUGUGAAUGGGAUGUGGGGG